rnacentral:rRNA from 1 species
AACGAACGCUGGCGGCAUGCCUAACACAUGCAAGUCGAACGAGCCCUUCGGGUCCAGUGGCGCACGGGUGCGUAACGCGUGGGAACCUGCCCUCAGGUUCGGAAUAACUCCCCGAAAGGGGUGCUAAUACCGGAUAAUGUCUUCGGACCAAAGAUUUAUCGCCUUUGGAUGGGCCCGCGUUGGAUUAGCUAGUUGGUAGGGUAAAAGCCUACCAAGGCGACGAUCCAUAGCUGGUCUGAGAGGAUGAUCAGCCACACUGGGACUGAGACACGGCCCAGACUCCUACGGGAGGCAGCAGUGGGGAAUAUUGGACAAUGGGCGAAAGCCUGAUCCAGCAAUGCCGCGUGAGUGAUGAAGGCCUUAGGGUUGUAAAGCUCUUUUACCCGGGAUGAUAAUGACAGUACCGGGAGAAUAAGCUCCGGCUAACUCCGUG